rnacentral:lncRNA from 1 species
UUUUCUCUAUUCACGGUUGCACAUCUCCUUCCGUUCAGCCCUUCUUCUCUCCCCAACAGCGCUACCCCAGCCCCCACCCGGCGACGCCCCAGCCCCCUCAAAGGUUUUUUUUUCCUUUUCGUUUCAAUCAUCUUUCAAUGAUUUUAGGGUUUGUGGGGAAGGUUCCUAUUUGAUAAUGAUAUUGUGAAAAAGACUAUUAAUUCUUAUAAAUUGGCAGAUCGUUUCUUGGAUGUGAUGAUUGGGUCAUAAGAUGUGAAUUUUCCUAGGAUAUGUAUGAAAUUUAUUCAUGAAUAUAUUGUAUAAAACUCACUUUUUAUGUGUGUUAUUGUGUGUGUGCAUCAUCUCAUUGUGAGUAAUUUCCAAUUUUGGAUCAAGAAAAAAAAAGCGUUAAUUUGUUUUUUUAAUUAGUUAGCGGUUAGGCAUUCUAUUUGAAUUUUAGGACAACAGUAUAAAACAAAUUUAAUGAUUUUCUUAUUAUUAGUAUAUUUCGUUAAUUUUCGUUAUAAUUAGAGUGGAUUGUCUUUAAAAAGGUUUUUUUUUUUGUUUUUUUUUUUGUAGUGGAUUAGGUUAAUUUCGUAGUAGAUUACGUUAAUAUUUUGGUGGUUUUCUAUAUUUUAUAGUGGUUUUAUGUGCGCUUAAUAGUAGUGGAUUUCAUUAAUAUUGGUGAAUUUGGUUACCUUCUAGUUGAUUUCAGUAAGUUCUUAGUGGAUUUCGAUGUAAUUUGAGUGGAUUUUGUCUUUGAAAAGAGGAUUUUUUUUGUAGCGAAUUAGGUUAAUUUCGUAGUGGAUUACGUUAAUAUUUUAAUGGUUUUCUAUAUUUUAUAGUGGUUUUUGAUGAGCAUAAUAGUAGUGGAUUUUGUUAAUAUUAGUGAAUUUCGUGAAUUUCUAGUUGAUUUCGGUAAGUUUUUAGUGAAUUUCGAUAUAAUUUGUGUGGAUUUUGUCUUCGAAAAGAGGAAAUUUUUUUUGUACUGGAUUAGGUUAAUUUUGUAGUAAAUUUUGCUUUCAGAAUGAAUUUUUUUUCGUAUGAAUUAAAUUGACAUGUUGUGGUCUCCUUUUUCUUUUUAUUAGGUUUUUUAACAGGCGGCGAUGACACAAGGGUGAUUAGGUUGGUUCAUGCUCGGGAAACUCUACUAUUUGUUAGUGGAGACGGCGUUUGUUGGUGUCUUUUAGAAAAAAAAAAAAAAAAAAACCCAGAGUAAUAGUAGUGUUUUGUUAGAAUUGUUAAAACUAUUUGUUUUUUCUUCUCGCAAAGCACAUUGUUUUCUUUUAGUAUCGAUGAUUUGCUUAUCUACAUCAAAUGAUGUUGAUUGCGGAAGUUUGUGGUUAAUUUCAUUUAAUUUCAUAGUGGAUUUACGUUAAUUUUAUUUCGAAU